rnacentral:rRNA from 1 species
UACGUAGGGGGCAAGCGUUGUCCGGAUUUAUUGGGCGUAAAGAGCGUGUAGGCGGCUAGGUAGGUCCGUUGUGAAAACUCGAGGCUCAACCUCGAGACGUCGAUGGAAACCAUCUAGCUAGAGUCCGGAAGAGGAGAGUGGAAUUCCUGGUGUAGCGGUGAAAUGCGCAGAUAUCAGGAAGAACACCCGUGGCGAAGGCGGGUCUCUGGGCCGAACUGACGCUGAGGAGCGAAAGCGUGGGGAGCGAACAGG